rnacentral:rRNA from 1 species
GACGAACGCUGGCGGCGUGCUUAACACAUGCAAGUCGAACGGAAAGGCCCUGCUUGCAGGGUGCUCGAGUGGCGAACGGGUGAGUAACACGUGGGUGAUCUGCCCCUUACUUUGGGAUAAGCCUGGGAAACUGGGUCUAAUACUGGAUAGGACCAUGCUGUAGGUGGUGUGGUGGAAAGAUUAGUUUCGGUAAGGGAUGAGCUCGCGGCCUAUCAGCUUGUUGGUGGGGUAAUGGCCUACCAAGGCGUCGACGGGUAGCCGGCCUGAGAGGGUGGACGGCCACAUUGGGACUGAGAUACGGCCCAGACGCCUACGGGAGGCAGCAGUGGGGAAUAUUGCACAACGGGCGCAAGCCUGAUGCAGCGACGCCGCGGGGGGGAUGACGGCCUUCGGGUUGUAAACUCCUUUCAGCCAUGACGAAGCCCUUGUGGUGACGGUAGUGGUAGAAGAAGCACCGGCUAACUACGUG